rnacentral:rRNA from 1 species
AUUGAACGCUGGCGGCAUGCCUUACACAUGCAAGUCGAACGGCAGCACGGGGGCAACCCUGGUGGCGAGUGGCGAACGGGUGAGUAAUAUAUCGGAACGUACCCUGGAGUGGGGGAUAACGUAGCGAAAGUUACGCUAAUACCGCAUACGAUCUAAGGAUGAAAGUGGGGGAUCGCAAGACCUCAUGCUCCUGGAGCGGCCGAUAUCUGAUUAGCUAGUUGGUGGGGUAAAGGCCUACCAAGGCAUCGAUCAGUAGCUGGUCUGAGAGGACGACCAGCCACACUGGGACUGAGACACGGCCCAGACUCCUACGGGAGGCAGCAGUGGGGAAUUUUGGACAAUGGGGGCAACCCUGAUCCAGCAAUGCCGCGUGAGUGAAGAAGGCCUCGGUUGUAA